UCUCAAUAACUGUAACAUUAUCUCCUCUUUGUUCUGUCCUGGGUAUUCUUCAUCCUUACCCAAGUCAGCUUUGAAUUGUUCUGGAACAACCUAGGGAAAUUUCAGGUGUCAGGAGCCUGAUUGGAGUUCUUGAUUUCUAGUUAUCUCCAGCCUCACGGUCAAACCACCACACUACACCGUCUAGGAGAGGGGAGCAAAAAUGUUCUUUCUCUCAAGUUUUCACUGGCUUGCCUUUCCUGAUUUCUUUGGGAGCACCUCAGCCCUCCUGCUACCAGCGUUGGAGGAAUUGUUCAGGGAACUGAAGUGGUCUGUGGGCAUGUUCCUCAUACUUAACCAUCAAUGAUGACCUCAUCAUAGUCUCCGUUCUGUUUUCUUUUUCUCGUUUUCAUAAGGAAAGAAAUGAUUUGUUGCUUUCUUUCCUUGCCUUCCAUUCCCUUACGUCAUAUCUCUCUGCAAUUGAUUGCCAGGGAACCAACAUACAUUGGAAAAGUGCAUUUUGACAAAGAAAAGAAAUAAUUCUAAACUCUCAAUGUGAUGUAGGAGGAAUGUGCCAUCUGCAGGGCCAAGUCCACAUUCCAGAACCUAGCACGUGGCUCUUGUUUACUCCUCCACCCUUAUCCCUUCCUGAUUCCCCAGAUGAAAGCCACACCAAAUUACUUAAGUUUCUCAGGAAGCACCCUGUUAUUUCUCAUCUCCAGAUCUUUCUUCACACAAGCAUUUGACCUAUCCUGAAUGCCUCUUCCCAUCUCAUCUGCUUGAUGAUGUCCUACUUAUUCCUUAAGGGUGUUCUCUGUGAAGGCUUCACAAAACCACCCAAAAAGUAUUCAUCAUCAGUUCUUUCUGUGUGUAGUCUAUCGCUCUUAAAUCACUAUAUGAACAUUUUAUAUAUAUUUUUCCUGACUAUAUCCUGCAUUCCCAAUGUCAUUUUGUCUUGUUCUUUUUAUGCUCAGAACCUACCACAGCUCCUGGAUACACAGCAGGAUUUCACUAAAUGUGGGUGAAUGAAUAAAUGAGAGUCUAUCUUCCGUUUGGACCCAAAUGAAAUUUAAAGAUUACUUUAGGACUUUCUAAUGAGAUCUAGAAGUUUAGCAACUUUGCAUCAUCACUAUUGAAGGCACGUAGGCUAUUUGGUUCCAUGCAGAGAAAAUUAAAAUAACAAAAGCAAAGAUCUUAUCCAUUAGGAAAUGUGUAUAGUGCUGACACUCUGAUAUUUAUCUUGCUCACUCCUAAUUUCUUCAGAUCCCUCAUAUCAGAGAAGUUAAGAUCUUCCUUUGCCUUAUCUCUGAAUAAAUUAAAUUUCUGAUUCGAGCCAAUGGAUGGUUUUACAAAAAGCAGGUUUUAAAAAUAAGAAAAUUCAGGAGUGACUUCAGA
rnacentral:lncRNA from 1 species